rnacentral:tRNA from 1 species
CAUACUCGCCGAAUGGUAUAGGCGCUUGAUUUAGGUUCAAGUCCCGCAAGGGAUGUGGGUUCAACUCCCGCGUAUG